rnacentral:rRNA from 1 species
UUGGAGGGCAAGUCUGGUGCCAGCAGCCGCGGUAAUUCCAGCUCCAAUAGCGUAUAUUAAAGUUGUUGCAGUUAAAAAGCUCGUAGUUGAAUUUCGGGGUUCUACCGUUGGUCGGGCUUUGUCUGUACUGGUGUGUAGAAUUUCUACCUUCUGGGGAACCAUCAUGCUAUUAAUUUAGCGUGGUGGGAAACCAGGACCUUUACCUUGAAAAAAUUAGUGUGUUCAAAGCAGGCUUAUGUCUGAAUACAUUAGCGUGGAAUAAUAGAAUAGGACGGUGGUCCUGUUUUGUUGGUUUCUGAAUCACCGUAAUGAUUAAUAGGGGUAGUUGGGGGCAUUAGUAUUCAAUUGUCAGAGGUGAAAUUCUUGGAUUUAUUGAAGACUAACUUCUGCGAAAGCAUCUGCCAAGGAUGUUUUCAUUAAUCAAGAACGAAAGUUAGGGGAUCGAAGACGAUCAGAUACCGUCGUAGUCUUAACCAUAAACUAUGCCGACUAGGGAUCGGAUGAUGUUAAUUUUUUAAUGACUCAUUCGGCGCCUUACGGGAAAC